rnacentral:rRNA from 1 species
GUAGUCAUACGCUCGUCUCAAAGAUUAAGCCAUGCAUGUGUAAGUGUAAAUAUCAUAGUUUGGAACUGCGAAUGGCUCAUCAUAUCAGUUAUAGUUUAUUUGGUGAAGUGUACUACUUGGAUAACCGUAGUAAUUCUAGGGCUAAUACAUGAGAAAGUCCUCGGGUGAGGUGUGUCUAUUAGAAUGAAAACCAUAUGAUUUGGCAUGAUAGUGAGUAAUAGUAACCUAUCGUAUCGCAUGCUUAAUGUAGCGAUGAGUCUUUCAAGUUUCUGCCCUAUCAGCGUUCGAUGGUGGUAUAUGGGCGUACCACGGCAGUAACGGGUAACGAAGAAUUUGGGUUCGAUUUCGGAGAGGGAGCCUGAGAGAUGGCUACCACAUCCGAGGAAGGCAGCAGGCGCGUAAAUUACCCAAUCUUGACACAGGGAGGUAGUGACAAUAAAUCACACUGCGGGACUCUACGUCUUGCAAUUGGAUUGAGAACAAUGUACUACUCUAAUCGAUAAGCCAUUGGAGGGCAAGUCUGGUGCCAGCAGCCGCGGUAAUUCCCGCUCCCAUAGCGUAUAUUAACGUUGUGCAGU